rnacentral:rRNA from 1 species
AGAGUUUGAUCCUGGCUCAGCUCGAACGUUGGCGGCGUGCUUGAUACAUGCAAGUCGAACGAUUCUAUUUUUGUCGCAAGACGAAUGUAGGAUAGUGGCGGACUGGUGAGUAACACGUUGGAACCUGCCCUCAACUCAGGAAUAAUUCGCCGAAAGGUGGACUAAUACCUGAUAGUCUAAAGCUUUCUAUAUGUUGGCAUUAGUAAAGUUACGGCGGUUGAGGAGGGGCCUGCGUACUAUCAGCUAGUUGGUAAGGUAAUGGCUUACCAAGGCUAUGACGGUUAGGGGUUCUGAGAGGAAGAUCCCCCACAGUGGGACUGAGAUAUGGCCCACACUCCUACGGGAGGCAGCAGUAGGGAAUAUUCCGCAAUGCCCGCAAGGGUGACGGAGCGACGCCGCGUGCAGGAUGACAUUCUUCGGGAUGUAAACUGCUUUUCCAUGGGAAGAAAUCUGACUGUACCAUGGGAAUAAGUCACGGCUAAUCACGUGCCAGAAGCCUCGGUGAUACGUGAGUGGCAAACGUUGAGCGGAAUGAUUGGGCGUAAAGCGCAUGUAGGUGGUUAAACAAGUCGUAUGUUAAAUAUUCUGACUUAAUCAGGAGAAUAUAUACGAAACUGUUUUACUAGAGCGUAAGUGGGGUAAGUGGAAUUCCUGGUGUAGGAGUGAAAUCCGUUGAUAUCGGGAGGAACACCAAUGGCGAAGGCAACUUACUAACUUAAUGCUGACACUUAAGUGCGAAAGCGUGGGUAGCAAACAGGAUUAGAUACCCUGGUAGUCCACGCUGUAAACGAUGGAUACUAGCUAUUGGCGGCAUCGACCCCGUCAGUAGUCACAGCUAACGCGUCAAGUAUCCCGCCUGGGGAGUACGGUCGCAAGACUAAAACUCAAAGGAAUUGACGGGGACC